UACGUAGGGGGCAAGCGUUGUCCGGAAUCAUUGGGCGUAAAGCGCGUGUAGGCGGCCCGGUAAGUCCGCUGUGAAAGUCGGGGGCUCAACCCUCGAAUGCCGGUGGAUACUGUCGGGCUAGAGUGCGGGAGAGGCGAGUGGAAUUCCUGGUGUAGCGGUGAAAUGCGUAGAUAUCUGGAGGAACACCGGUGGCGAAGGCGGCAUCCUGGACCAAUAUUGACGCUGAGGAGCGAAAGCCAGGGGAGCAAACGGG
rnacentral:rRNA from 1 species